rnacentral:rRNA from 1 species
AUUGAACGCUGGCGGCAUGCCUUACACAUGCAAGUCGAACGGUAACGGGUCCUUCGGGAUGCCGACGAGUGGCGAACGGGUGAGUAAUAUAUCGGAACGUGCCCAGUAGUGGGGGAUAACUGCUCGAAAGAGCAGCUAAUACCGCAUACGACCUGAGGGUGAAAGGGGGGGAUCGCAAGACCUCUCGCUAUUGGAGCGGCCGAUAUCAGAUUAGCUAGUUGGUGGGGUAAAGGCCCACCAAGGCAACGAUCUGUAGUUGGUUUGAGAGGACGACCAGCCACACUGGGAAUGAGACACGGCCCAGACUCCUACGGGAGGCAGCAGUGGGGAAUUUUGGACAAUGGGCGCAAGCCUGAUCCAGCAAUGCCGCGUGCAGGAAGAAGGCCUUCGGGUUGUAAAGCCCUUUUGUUGGGAAAGAAAUCCAUCUGGUUAAUACCCGGGUGGGAUGACGGUACCCAAAGAAUAAGCACCGGCUAACUUCGUGCCAGCCGCCGCCGUAA